GUUGCUAACAGGUGAAGCUGAGCACGUCUAGACGAACUGCCGUUGACAAACGGAGGAAGGUGGGAUGACGUCAAAUCAUCAUGCCCUUAUGUUCUGGGCUACACACGUGCUACAAUGGCCGGUACAGACGGACGCAAAGCCGCGAGGUGGAGCAAAUCCUAAAAAGCCGGUCUCAGUUCGGAUUGCAGGCUGCAAUUCGCCUGCAUGAAGUCGGAAUCGCUAGUAAUCGCAGGUCAGCAUACUGCGGUGAAUACGUUCCCGGGCCUU
rnacentral:rRNA from 1 species